GACGAACGCUGGCGGCGUGCUUAACACAUGCAAGUCGAACGGGCCUUGUCCCCUUUUUUUUGGGGGUGGGGUUAGUGGCGAACGGGUGAGUAACACGUGAGUAACCUGCCCCUCACUUCUGGAUAACCGCUUGAAAGGGUGGCUAAUACGGGGUGUUCUGGCCUGCUCGCAUGGGUGGGUUUGGAAAGAUUCGACCGGUUUUGGUUGUUUUGGUGGGGGAUGGGCUCGCGGCCUAUCAGCUUGUUGGUGGGGUGAUGGCCUGCCAAGGCGUUGACGGGUAGCCGGCCUGAGAGGGUGGGCGGUCACACUGGGACUGAGACACGGCCCAGACUCCUACGGGAGGCAGCAGUGGGGAAUAUUGCACAAGGGGCGCAAGCCUGAUGCAGCGACGCCGCGUGAGGGAUGGAGGCCUUCGGGUUGUGAACCUCUUUCGCCAGUGAAGAAGGUCCUGCUCUUUGUGGUGGGGUUGACGGUAGCUGGGUUAAUGAAGCGCCGGCUAACUACGUG
rnacentral:rRNA from 1 species